rnacentral:rRNA from 1 species
UACGUAGGGCGCAAGCGUUGUCCGGAAUUAUUGGGCGUAAAGAGCUCGUAGGUGGUGUGUCGCGUCUGCCGUGAAAGCCCGGGGCUUAACUCCGGGUCUGCGGUGGAUACGGGCAGACUAGAGGCAGGUAGGGGAGAACGGAAUUCCCGGUGUAGCGGUGAAAUGCGCAGAUAUCGGGAGGAACACCGGUGGCGAAGGCGGGCU